CCAUGCCGCGUGUGUGAAGAAGGCCUUCGGGUUGUAAAGCACUUUUGUCCGGAAAGAAAAGCACUGGGUUAAUACCCCGGUGUUCUGACGGUACCGGAAGAAUAAGCACCGGCUAACUUCGUGCCAGCAGCCGCGGUAAUACGAAGGGUGCAAGCGUUACUCGGAAUUACUGGGCGUAAAGCGUGCGUAGGUGGUGAGUUAAGUCUGUCGUGAAAGCCCCGGGCUCAACCUGGGAAUGGCGAUGGAUACUGGCUCGCUAGAGUGCGGUAGAGGAGAGUGGAAUUCCCGGUGUAGCAGUGAAAUGCGUAGAGAUCGGGAGGAACAUCAGUUGCGAAGGCGGCUCUCUGGACCAGCACUGACACUGAGGCACGAAAGCGUGGGGAGCAAACAGGAUUAGAUACCCUGGUAGUCCACGCCCUAAACGAUGCGAACUGGACGUUGGGAGCAACUAGGCUCUCAGUGUCGAAGCUAACGCGUUAAGUAGACCGCCUGGGGAGU
rnacentral:rRNA from 1 species